GAUGAAGAACUUAGCGAAAUGCGAUAAGUAAUGUGAAUUGCAGAAUUCCGUGAAUCAUCGAAUCUUUGAACGCACAUUGCGCCCCCUGGUAUUCCGGGGGGCAUGCCUGUCCGAGCGUCAUUGCAACCCUCAAGCGCGGCUUGUGUGUUGGGCUUCGUCCCCCCGUGGACGUGCCCGAAAGGCAGUGGCGGCGUCCCGAAUGGUGCCCGAGCGUAUGGGAACUCUCUUCCGCUCGAACCGGCCCAUUCGGCGCUGGUCGAACCCCAAUUUUUUUUUACCGGUUGACCUCGGAUCAGGUAGGGAUACCCGCUGAACUUAAGCAUAUCAAUAAGCGGAGGA
rnacentral:misc_RNA from 1 species